rfam:Triticum aestivum genome assembly, contig: Triticum_aestivum_CS42_TGACv1_scaffold_129636_2BL
UUUAUACUCCUCCCGUCCCAAAAUUCUUGUCUUAGAUUAGUCUAGAUACGGAUGUAUCUAAUACUAAAACGUGACUUGAUACAUCCGUAUUUAUACAUAUAUAAGACAAGAAUUUUGGGACGGAGGGAGUACUUU